rnacentral:sRNA from 1 species
UCCUAGCCCAGAUGGAAACGGCAUCCUUUUUGGUGACUGAGGCUCUCGAAGUUACCAAAAAGAUAUAGUGUACAGCUGGAUAAAGC